ACAACGGAUCUCUUGGCUCUCGCAUCGAUGAAGAACGCAGCGAAAUGCGAUAAGUAAUGUGAAUUGCAGAAUUCAGUGAAUCAUCGAAUCUUUGAACGCACCUUGCGCCCUUUGGUAUUCCGAAGGGCACGCCUGUUUGAGUGUCAUGUUACUCUCAAUCCAACAGCUUUUGUUGUUCGGAUUGGAUUUGGGAGCCUGCUGGCCCUGUUUAUUGGGUCGGCUCUCCUUGAAUGCAUGAGUGAGCAUCUGGUUCGCGUCGCUAGUGUGAUAGUCUGUUCAUCAUUAGUGGCGCUUGCCUAACGGGCUUGCUUUCGAAUCGUCUUCUCAACGGAGACAAAUCAUUGACUUCUUUGACCUCAAAUCAGGCGGGACU
rnacentral:rRNA from 1 species